rnacentral:rRNA from 1 species
UACGGAGGGUGCGAGCGUUAAUCGGAAUUACUGGGCGUAAAGCGCGCGUAGGCGGUUUGUUAAGUCGGAUGUGAAAGCCCCGGGCUCAACCUGGGAACUGCACCCGAUACUGGCCGACUUGAGUGCGAGAGAGGGAGGUAGAAUUCCAUGUGUAGCGGUGAAAUGCGUAGAUAUAUGGAGGAAUACCGGUGGCGAAGGCGGCCUCCAGGCUCGACACUGACGCUGAGGUGCGAAAGCGUGGGUAGCAAACAGG